rnacentral:rRNA from 1 species
GAUGAACGCUAGCUACAGGCUUAACACAUGCAAGUCGAGGGGCAGCAUGAACUUAGCUUGCUAAGUUUGAUGGCGACCGGCGCACGGGUGAGUAACACGUAUCCAACCUGCCGAUGACUCGGGGAUAGCCUUUCGAAAGAAAGAUUAAUACCCGAUGGCAUAAUUCUUCCGCAUGGUAGAACUAUUAAAGAAUUUCGGUCAUCGAUGGGGAUGCGUUCCAUUAGGUUGUUGGCGGGGUAACGGCCCACCAAGCCUUCGAUGGAUAGGGGUUCUGAGAGGAAGGUCCCCCACAUUGGAACUGAGACACGGCCCAGACUCCUACGGGAGGCAGCAGUGGGGGAUAUUGCGCAAUGGGGGAAACCCUGACGCAGCAACGCCGCGUGAAGGAUGAAGGUCUUCGGGAUUGUAAACUCUUUUAUUAAGGACGAAGAAAGUGACGGUACUUAAUGAAUAAGCUCCGGCUAACUACGUG